GCCUGGGUGGCUCAGUCGGUUAAGUGUCUGACUUCAGCUCAGGUCAUGAUCUCACAUCCCGUGAGUUCGAGCCCCGCAUCGGGCU
rnacentral:tRNA from 1 species